rnacentral:rRNA from 1 species
GACGAACGCUGGCGGCGUGCCUAAUACAUGCAAGUUGAGCGAUGAAGAUUGGUGCUUGCACCAAUUUGAAGAGCAGCGAACGGGUGAGUAACGCGUGGGGAAUCUGCCUUUGAGCGGGGGACAACAUUUGGAAACGAAUGCUAAUACCGCAUAACAACUUUAAACAUAAGUUUUAAGUUUGAAAGAUGCAAUUGCAUCACUCAAAGAUGAUCCCGCGUUGUAUUAGCUAGUUGGUGAGGUAAAGGCUCACCAAGGCGAUGAUACAUAGCCGACCUGAGAGGGUGAUCGGCCACAUUGGGACUGAGACACGGCCCAAACUCCUACGGGAGGCAGCAGGAGGGAAUCUUCGGCAAUGGACGAAAGUCUGACCGAGCAACGCCGCGUGAGGGAAGAAGGUUUUCGGAUCGUAAAACUCUGUUGGUAGAGAAGAACGUUGGUGAGAGUGGAAAGCUCAUCAAGUGACGGUAACUACCCAGAAAGGGACGGCUAACUACGUG